GAAGGCGUAGCUCAGUGGGUCAGAGUGUAGCCACUGGACGGCUGAGGGCGCGGGUUCGAAUCCUGCCGCCUGAACU